rnacentral:ribozyme from 1 species
GGUUGCAAGUUUGAGGCCAUAACUGAAGUACUCACAGCUCAGCCCUGUCAGAUUCCAGUGAAUCUGUGAAUUCUGCU